rnacentral:rRNA from 1 species
UACGAAGGGGGCUAGCGUUGCUCGGAAUUACUGGGCGUAAAGCGCACGUAGGCGGCUUCUUAAGUCGGUGGUGAAAUCCUGGAGCUCAACUCCAGAACUGCCUUCGAUACUGGGAAGCUCGAGUCCGGGAGAGGUGGGUGGAACUGCGAGUGUAGAGGUGAAAUUCGUAGAUAUUCGCAAGAACACCAGUGGCGAAGGCGGCUCACUGGCCCGGUACUGACGCUGAGGUGCGAAAGCGUGGGUAGCAAACAGG